UCCAUGAAAUCUGCCCUGGAAAACACACCGCAUCCCGUCCCAUCUACACAGUCAAGCAAGGUAUCACCUACUCAGUACUGCGCUAGGGCACCACGCGGCAAUCCCAAAGUUGCUCCAAUUU